AAUUCCUCACACUCCCCUGGUAGGAAGACGGAAAUUCCACACGACUAGGGUUUCUAGUGGGUACUGCGGUCCCACCGAUUUACAUGCCACCUCACCUAACAGUUAUUGGUGACACAUAGAUUGAUGAAUGUACAACUCUUGUACAAUGCUUCUCAAGCAUGUUGCAGUGUAACUUGGUCUCUAAGCCAUAAAAACCUCACCUAAUAGUUAUUGGUCCCAUUUCUUAGUUAAGUCAGAUCCACCGUAUAACCAUAGGAAUAAAGUCGUCAUUGGGUCCUCACCUAACAGUUAUUGGUGCCCAACCCCACCUUUACCCUACAACAUCUCAUG
rnacentral:lncRNA from 1 species